rnacentral:rRNA from 1 species
UACGGAGGGGACUAGCGUUGUUCGGAAUUACUGGGCGUAAAGCGCACGUAGGCGGAUUGUUAAGUCAGGGGUGAAAUCCCGAGGCUCAACCUCGGAACUGCCUUUGAUACUGGCAAUCUCGAGUCCGGAAGAGGUGAGUGGAAUUCCUAGUGUAGAGGUGAAAUUCGUAGAUAUUAGGAAGAACACCAGUGGCGAAGGCGGCUCACUGGUCCGGUACUGACGCUGAGGUGCGAAAGCGUGGGGAGCAAACAGGGAU